rnacentral:tRNA from 1 species
ACACAGGUGGCUCAGAGGUAGAGCUCUUGCCUUCCAUGUGGGAGACCCAGGUUCUAUUCCCAGCCAGUGCA